rnacentral:rRNA from 1 species
AACGAACGCUGGCGGCAUGCCUAACACAUGCAAGUCGAACGAGACCGUCGGGUCCUGGUGCGCACGGGUGCGUAACGCGAGGGAAGCUUCCCGUAUGGUCGGAAUAACUUUCCGAAAGGGGUGCUAAUACCGGACGAAUUCUACGGACCAAAGAUUUAUCUCCUUAGGAUGGGCCCGCGUUGGAUUAGCUAGUUGGUAGGGUAAACGCCUACCAAGGCGACGAUACAUAGCUGGUCAGAGAGGACGACCAACAACCCUGGGAAUGUAACCCGGACGAGAGGCUUGCGAAAGGAAGCAAGGCGGACUAUUCGACGAUGGGCGAAAGACUGAUCCAGCAGUGCCGCGUAAGUGAUUAAGGCCUUAAGAUUGUAAGGCACUUUUAAACGGGAUGAUAAUGACGGUACCGAGAGAAAAGGCUCCGGCUAACUCCGUG